UACGUAGGGGGCAAGCGUUGUCCGGAUUUAUUGGGCGUAAAGAGCGUGUAGGCGGCCAGGUAGGUCGGAUGUGAAAUCCCCAGGCUCAACCUGGGAACUGCAUCCGAUACUGGAUGGCUUGAAUCCGGGAGAGGGAUGCAGAAUUCCAGGUGUAGCGGUGAAAUGCGUAGAUAUCUGGAGGAAUACCGGUGGCGAAGGCGGCAUCCUGGACCGGCAUUGACGCUGAGGAGCGAAAGCUAGGGGAGCAAACGGG
rnacentral:rRNA from 1 species